rnacentral:lncRNA from 1 species
UGGGAAACACAGGGAGAGGUGGGUCAGUACCAGGAGACAAGAAGAACGCUGUCAGCUUGAGAGCUUUUCUUGGUACCUUCUGUCAAUGUCGAGCUGAUGUGAUCUUCUCCUCUGACGGGGGGUGGGGUAAGCUGCUGGGAUGGACCGAGUUUAUGCAUGCUUGAAGAGUUUCAUGCUAAGCCAAUGGAAAUAUACCGCAAUGACGAGUACAGGAAGGGUCAAGGGAAUCAACAGGCAGUAGUACCUAAGAAAUAAAAUCAAGAUAAAUCAGAGAGACAAUCAUAGAAUCGCAAGUCAAAAAGAACCCUAGAUUGCUCUGGGCCUUGAACAGACCCUAAACCGUGUGAAGACCAAUCUUAAUAUAAUUGGCAUAAGCUUUGAAAAGAGUGUAAACCCUAAACCUUAUUGAGAUGAGCACGGGGCUCUCCUUGGCCUAUAAUAUUUUGAAACAAACAAAAUGAAUACCAAAAUGUCAUUAAUUUCUGUAGCCGUUCAAAAUCAGGUGCUAAGUCUAAAGACCAAGCUUGAGAGUGGACAAUUGUGAAUUGUUGAAAGAAAGAUUUGUACUAGAAGAUUUGGGAUUCUACUUCAAUAGGAUGCUAAAAUUCAAGUCCUGUGAACACGGUGGGAAUAAGAUACAUUCUGACUGAAUUAAUGGUCUGUCUUUCUCAUACAUAUUCAAAAAAAAAUUGAAAUAAUUAGGUUGCUGCUCCAUUAUUAUAUCUAAACGGAAACUAUAGAACUUUUUUGCAGAAUCAGCAUGGAUAUUGGGAGAUAGUAAGUAUUCUUUUUUUCCGCAUUGAUUCUGAGGCUGGAGCAAAAAAGCUAAUACUUUUUCUGAACUGCCUCCCUGGCCAAUCCAGAUGUCUCCCAUUUAAAUUGGGAACCUGCAUGAAUGUUCUGCAAAACGCCAUAUGAAUAAUCUCUGGAUCAACAUCGCUAGAAUACAUGUAUCUUCUGGUUAUAGAUAAUAAAUUUCCAAUCAAGCAAAGGCCAUGCAAGAAAGAAGAUUAAAAGCUUUUUUUCCAAAAAAUUGUAUUUUAUACCAACAGCAAGCUUUUUAGGUCAGGAAAAAAACCAUGGAUCCGUAAAGCUUGA